CGGACGGGUGAGUAAUGCUUGGGAAUCUGGCUUAUGGAGGGGGAUAACUACGGGAAACUGUAGCUAAUACCGCGUAGUAUCGGGAGAUGAAAGACUGGGACCGCAAGGCCAGUUGCCAUAAGAUGAGCCCAAGUGGGAUUAGGUAGUUGGUGGGGUAAAGGCCUACCAAGCCGACGAUCUCUAGCUGGUCUGAGAGGAUGACCAGCCACACUGGAACUGAGACACGGUCCAGACUCCUACGGGGGGCAGCAGUGGGGAAUAUUGCACAAUGGGGGGAACCCUGAUGCAGCCAUGCCGCGUGAAUGAAGAAGGCCUUCGGGUUGUAAAGUUCUUUCGGUGAUGAGGAAGGGUGGUGUUUUAAUAGAGCACUACAUUGACGUUAGUCACAGAAGAAGCACCGGCUAACUCCGUGCCAGCAGCCGCGGUAAUACGGAGGGUGCGAGCGUUAAUCGGAAUGACUGGGCGUAAAGGGCACGCAGGCGGUGACUUAAGUGAGAUGUGAAAGCCCCGAGCUUAACUUGGGAAUUGCAUUUCAUACUGGGUCGCUAGAGUAUUUUAGGGAGGGGUAGAAUUCCACGUGUAGCGGUGAAAUGCGUAGAGAUGUGGAGGAAUACCGAAGGCGAAGGCAGCCCCUUGGGAAAAUACUGACGCUCAUGUGCGAAAGCGUGGGGAGCAAACAGGAUUAGAUACCCUGGUAGUCCACGCUGUAAA
rnacentral:rRNA from 1 species